GAAGAGAGAGAAGGAGGAGAGAGGAGGAGGAAGAGAGGAGGGAGAGAGAGGAGAGAGAGAGAGAGAGUUUUCCAUCUCACACUCGGUCGUCCUGAGCUGUCACACAAAAUUAAUCCGUCCUCUCUGCUGCUUCUCAUUCUUAUUAUUGUGUUUUCCCUCCUCUUCCUCCUCUUCCUCUUCCUCCUCCUCCAUCUCCUCCUCCU
rnacentral:miRNA from 14 species